rnacentral:rRNA from 1 species
GACGAACGCUGGCGGCGCGCUUAACACAUGCAAGUCGAGCGAUGAAACUUUAACAGAACUCUUCGGAGUGAAGAGAAAGUGGAUUAGCGGCGGACGGGUGAGUAACACGCGAGUAACCGGCCGUAGACAUAGGGAUAGCCACGGGAAACCGGGAUUAAUACCAAAUAAAAUAAAUGACACAUGUCAUAACGAUCACAACUCAGGUGGUCUAAGAUGGACUAGCGUCCCAUUAGCUAGUUGGUAGAGUAAAAGCCUACCAAGGCGACGAUGGGUAGCCUGCCUGUGAGGGUGAACGGCCACAUUGGAACGGAGAAACGGUCCAAACUCCUACGGGAAGCGGCAAUGGGGAAUAUUGCACUAUCGAGGGAAUUCUGAUGCCGCGACGCCGCGUGAACGAAUAAGGCUUUCGAGUCGUAAAGUUCUUUUAUAUGGGAAGAUAAUGACGGUACCAUAAGAAAAAGCCCCGGCUAACUACGUG